ensembl:lncRNA
AGCUGGGAUGCAAGGAAAACCAACAUGGUCCAGAGCUGAACUGAGACACAAAACAAAAUACAGAUCUGCAUGCUUACACCUACACUCUCUGGCCACUUUCUUCGGUCUAAUGAGGCACCUGGUUGAGCCUCAUUUUACCUUCAGACCUGCCUUAAUUUUUCAUUGCAUAGAUUUAACAAGUGGAUCAGCCAUGGACAAAGGUUUGCUGCUGGUCCUGUUGUGUCUGCAGGUCGUCCUGCUCACCACAGUCUUCACUUCUGCUGAUGCAGCCGCUCUGCUGAGAGAUGAUCAGCAUCAACAACCUGUUGAUCCAAUGAGAAGUCUGCAGCAAAUGAAAGGAAGACGACAGACGGAGCAGAAACUUCCAUACUGGAUAUUCUGCGGGAGGAGACGAGGAGGAUGCACUUUGACAGGAGACCUGCCACGUCCUGGGAUCAUCUUUUGACCAGUUCAAGUCACAUUCAAUAGACAUCUUGAGUCAAGCUCUGCAGGAAAUGCCAUUAGAUGCAAAAGACAGCAAAUGAAUGAAGAUAAUUGUAAUGCUUACAAAAUAAUGCAAGUGCUUUUUAUUAGAAAUAAAAAUUUCAAAUCAGA